rnacentral:rRNA from 1 species
CACCUACGGGUGGCAGCAGUGGGGAAUCUUGCGCAAUGCGCGAAAGCGUGACGCAGCAACGCCGCGUGGGGGAAGACGGCCUUCGGGUUGUAAACCCCUUUCAGGAGGGACGAAGGUUCACCGGUGAAUAGCCGUGUGGAUUGACGGUACCUCCACAAGAAGGUCCGGCUAACUACGUGCCAGCAGCCGCGGUAAUACGUAGGGACCAAGCGUUGUCCGGAAUCAUUGGGCGUAAAGCGCGCGUAGGUGGCCAUUUAAGUCCGCUGUGAAAGUCAGAGGCUCAACCUUUGAAAGCCGGUGGAUACUGGGUGGCUAGAGUACGGAAGAGGCGAGUGGAAUUCCUGGUGUAGCGGUGGAAUGCGCAGAUAUCAGGAGGAACACCAAUAGCGAAGGCAGCUCGCUGGGACGUUACUGACACUAAGGCGCGAAAGCGUGGGGAGCGAACAGGAUUAGAUACCCUGGUAGUCCACGCCGUAAACGAUGGGUACUAGGUGUGGGAGGUGUCGACUCCUCCCGUGCCGUCGCUAACGCACUAA